rnacentral:rRNA from 1 species
CUAGAGUUUGAAUCAUGGCUCAGAUUGAACGCUGGCGGCAGGCCUAACACAUGCAAGUCGAGCGGAAACGAUGGAAGCUUGCUUCCAGGCGUCGAGCGGCGGACGGGUGAGUAAUGCAUAGGAAUCUGCCCGAUAGUGGGGGAUAACGUGGGGAAACCCACGCUAAUACCGCAUACGUCCUACGGGAGAAAGCAGGGGAUCUUCGGACCUUGCGCUAUCGGAUGAGCCUAUGUCGGAUUAGCUAGUUGGUGAGGUAAUGGCUCACCAAGGCGACGAUCCGUAGCUGGUCUGAGAGGAUGAUCAGCCACACUGGGACUGAGACACGGCCCAGACUCCUACGGGAGGCAGCAGUGGGGAAUAUUGGACAAUGGGGGAAACCCUGAUCCAGCCAUGCCGCGUGUGUGAAGAAGGCCUUCGGGUUGUAAAGCACUUUCAGCGAGGAAGAAGGCCUGAGGGUUAAUACCCUUCAGGAAGGACAUCACUCGCGAGAAGACCGU